GACGAACGCUGGCGGCGUGCUUAACACAUGCAAGUCGAACGAAGUGGCGAACGGGUGAGUAACGCGUAAUCAACCUGCCCUUCAGAGGGGGACAACAGUUGGAAACGACUGCUAAUACCGCAUACUUAAGGAGGGGAUUGCGUCUGAUUGGCUAGUUGGAGGGGUAACGGCCCACCAAGUCGAUGAUCAGUAGACAGUCGAAGAGGAUGAGCGGCCACAAUGGGACUGAGACACUGCCCAGACUCCUACGGGAGGCAGCAUGGGGGAAUCUUCCGAAAUGGACGAAAGUCUGACGGAGCAACGCCGCGUGAGUGAUGACGGCCUUCGGGUUGUAGAGCUCUGUUAAUCGGGACGCAGUACCGGAAUAGAAAGCCACGGCUAACUACGUGCCAGCAGCCGCGGUAAUAC
rnacentral:rRNA from 1 species